AGCACUGGAAACAAGGAAAAGUAAGAUGCGUUGGAAUGUCUGACUUUUUUUGUUUUUCUGACGUUCUGAUCUGCAGUGGCCGUCGGCUUCACACGGAGUCUGAUGAACUCGCUGUAAACAGAAACAUGGACUGAAAUUCCAGAAAUGGGGAUGUUUUGUCUGGAGCAGCUGAUAGCAUUUGUCAAACCCAAGACUGAACACUGCUGUCACUGUGGGGAAAGGCGGCUCACCACCUACUCAGAACAGGAACGGGCCAGAGGAUGCAGCUCAGCUUCACAGUAAAGGCCAGCCUACAAUCUGACAGAGGAAAAUCAGCAGCAGUUGAAGCCAGAGACCUGUCAGGAGGCUCUCCACCUGCACACACCUUCCCUGUGAGGUAGCAGAAGCUGCUGCCACGAGGACAACCCCAGGACAAAGCAUGGUGACAGGUGACACGUUAACAGGGAAUACUUAAGUCUACAGUACUCUGGAAUGCAGGAUAAAAUGCUUAAAAGCAAGUUAGAGAGAAAAAAGUAAAGUCCCACC
rnacentral:lncRNA from 1 species